UACGGAGGGUGCAAGCGUUUAUCCGGAUUCAUUGGGCGUAAAGGGUGCGUAGGUGGCGGGGUAAGUCAGGUGUGAAAUUUCGGAGCUUAACUCCGAAACUGCAUUUGAUACUGCCUUGCUUGAGGACUGGAGAGGAGACUGGAAUUCACGGUGUAGCAGUGAAAUGCGUAGAGAUCGUGAGGAAGACCAGUGGCGAAGGCGGGUCUCUGGACAGUUCCUGACGCUGAGGCACGAAGGUCAGGGGAGCAAACGGG
rnacentral:rRNA from 1 species